AGAGUUUGAUCAUGGCUCAGAUUGAACGUUGGCGGCAGGCCUAAUACAUGCAAGUCGAGCGGUAACAGAUCGCUNUGAUCCCUUCGGGGUGAACUUGAUGCUGACGAGCGGCGGACGGGUGAGUAACGCGUAGGAAUCUACCCAGUAGCGGGGGAUAGCCCGGGGAAACUCGGAUUAAUACCGCAUACGCCCUAUGGGGGAAAGGCGGGGAUCUCUUCGGAGACCUGUCACUAUUGGAGGAGCCUGCGUUGGAUUAGCUUGUUGGUGGGGUAAAAGCCCACCAAGGCGACGAUCCAUAGCUGGUCUGAGAGGACGAUCAGCCACACUGGAACUGAGACACGGUCCAGACUCCUACGGGAGGCAGCAGUAGGGAAUAUUGCACAAUGGGGGAAACCCUGAUGCAGCCAUGCCGCGUGUGUGAAGAAGGCCCUAGGGUUGUAAAGCACUUUCAGUAAGGAAGAAAAAGCAGGUA
rnacentral:rRNA from 1 species